rnacentral:rRNA from 1 species
CGCGGGUAACCUGCCCAAGAGACUGGGAUAACACCUGGAAACAGAUGCUAAUACCGGAUAACAACACUAGACGCAUGUCUAGAGUUUAAAAGAUGGUUCUGCUAUCACUCUUGGAUGGACCUGCGGUGCAUUAGCUAGUUGGUAAGGUAACGGCUUACCAAGGCAAUGAUGCAUAGCCGAGUUGAGAGACUGAUCGGCCACAUUGGGACUGAGACACGGCCCAAACUCCUACGGGAGGCAGCAG